ACUCAAAGGAAUUGACGGGGGAGCACAACAACGGGUGGAGCCUGCGGUUUAAUUGGACUCAACGCCGGACAACUCACCGGGAACGACAGCAAUAUGUAGGCCAGGCUGAAGACCUUGCCUGAAUCGCUGAGAGGAGGUGCAUGGCCGUCGCCAGUUCGUACUGUGAAGCAUCCUGUUAAGUCAGGCAACGAGCGAGACCCGUGCCCACUGUUACCAGCAUAUCCUCCGGGAUGAUGGGUACUCUGUGGGGACCGCUGAUGUUAAAUCAGAGGAAGGUGCGGGCUACGGUAGGUCAGUAUGCCCCGAAUUUCCCGGGCUACACGCGGGCUACAAUGAAUGGGACAAUGGGCCCCUACCCUGAAAAGGGUUGGUAAUCUCACAAACCCAUCCGUAGUUCGGAUUGAGGGCUGUAACUCGCCCUCAUGAAGCUGGAAUCCGUAGUAAUCGCGUUUCAAUAUAGCGCGGUGAAUACGUCCCUGCUCCUUGCACACACCGCCCGU
rnacentral:rRNA from 1 species